GGAGGAGGAGGUAAAGCGGAAAGCAGUGAGGCACAAGUGAACGAUUUCCUCUGUAGGCGUUGUGCCGAUAAGACGUGUGUGCAUCAAGAUGUGUCUGUCCGCCGCUUUGCCGCGAUAUACGAGUGCUGGUGUGUGUCAUUCUUCUCAUGGCAUUGUUGUUGUAGGUAUGAAGCAGUGUGUACACCAAGGGAGGACGUCUGGUCAUGCCGCCCAUCCCCUAAACAUGGGCAUAUGUCUCGGGCGUCAGUCACUCAGGCGAUGGAGCACGUCCCGCCACAAGUCUAUCACCGGUGCGGCGUCCCAACUUGGUGGAGCCACAUCUGUUUACCCAGGCGAACUCGUUAGCCACAGCAGCGUUCGAGUCCGACCUGUACCCGCUGAAGUGUGAGAAGCCCCGGCAUUCUGUUGCCGCUCCUCCUCAUCCGUGCAGGUCGUCCUCUUCAGAAGAGGACGCAGACCGCGGAGGCGUGCGGUCCGGCACAAGUAGGGCCCGGGCAGUUUCAACUCGUUCGUUGUUGGCGUCCUGCCACUACAGAAGGGAGAACCAAACCAGCGUGUCCAAACCCGCCCCUCCCAACCUGCAGCAAGAAACUGGUAGACGGCCGUCUGACAACACAAGGAGCCAUCCAGGGAAGAACAGACUGCCUCGCUUCAUCUGAACUAACAAAUAAAUGUUGCCAGUCACUCUUCUAAUGUCUUUAUUCCUUCUAAUGUGAAUGUACGCACAAAACUAAUACAUUUUGCCAAUCACUUUGCUUGUGAUGUUUUUAUUCCUGUCUAAUGUGAAUGUAUGCACAUAACCAAUACAUUUUGCUAUCACUUUGUAAUGUCAUUCCUUCCAUCUAAUGUGAAUGUGCCCACGUAAGUGUAAUGUUAUUCCUGUUCUGUGAUGUACCCACAUAACUGGUAUUAGUACUGAAUAAUAAAUCCAUUUUAAGAAAA